rnacentral:rRNA from 1 species
UACGUAGGGUGCAAGCGUUGUCCGGAAUUAUUGGGCGUAAAGCGCACGUAGGCGGAUACUUAAGUCAGGGGUGAAAUCCCGGGGCUCAACCCCGGAACUGCCUUUGAUACUGGGUAUCUCGAGUCCGGAAGAGGUGAGUGGAAUUCCGAGUGUAGAGGUGAAAUUCGUAGAUAUUCGGAGGAACACCAGUGGCGAAGGCGGCUCACUGGUCCGGUACUGACGCUGAGGAGCGAAAGCGUGGGGAGCGAACAGG